CUUUCUUUCUUUUUCUUCUGUUGUUUCUGCUCACCGCCUCCGGCGAUUUUGUGAGAUGAUUCAUAAGUCAAAAUUGAAGAGAAACUUAGGGGAAACGUUAGGAAUUGAUUACUGAUGGUGGUGGUGUUAUUAGUUGAGAUCGGAGAAGAAGAAAACUGAUGAUGUUGUAAAAUCGAAGAUUAAGGUUUCUGAUAUUCAUUGGAGUUAUGAUUUCAGAUGAUUGAGAAGAUAUUUAAGGGUGGGUUGGUCGAUCUGGUGAUCAUGGUGGUCUUUAAGUCAUGUGUAUUCAAAAUCAGGAAGAAUCAAAAUAAGGGUUUUCAAUUUGAUUUUAGAGUUAUGUGGAUUUGAGAUGUAGAUCGAGUUGCUGAUGGAUUAAGAACUAAUGAGUAUUUGUUUAAUUGAAGUUCUGAAAUUAUUGGUGAAUAUUUGAGAAUUAGGGUUUAUGUUCUUCCCUAAAUUAAGAAAUAGGGUUUCAUAAGAAGUUCAAAGAAGGAUUAGAAUAUGAAGUUGAUGUUCUAGGGGAUUGAUUGAAGGUGGGUUUGUCACAAAUUCAGAGUUAAGUUGAAGAAUUUACUAAAAUUGAUAGUUAGGGUUUUAUUUCUGUCGGAGUGAAGAAUUUGGGAAUUGGCCGUGAUGAACUGUGGAAGGGUUAGAUGGUGAUGUAUUGAGUCCAAUCAGUCUAAAGAAGGGGUUGAUUUCAAUUGGUGGGGAGAGUCUUUUUGAGGUAAUUUACUUCUUAAUAUCUCAGUAAAGCUUUUUGAUUUCAUUUAAUGAACUAUGAGUUAUGGAUGUUGAUGAGGAUGUAAUAAACUGAGAUUAAGAUGAUUACAAAAUGAAUCUGUAAUUGUGGAUAUGAAGAUGUUGUUGAAUUGUGAACAACAGCUGCAGGGAAUGGUUGAGUUCUUUAUGGUGGUAUGUGUGUGGUAUGAGCUGUGAUUGUAGUUUAGGUCAAGAUAGUGUGAACUGUUGGUGUUAGUUGUUUGAAUGGGUUGAGUUGAUGAUGUUGAGAUGCAACUACAGGUGGUGGUGGUUUAUGAGUUACAAGGCUUUUUGUUGGAGUUGUUUUGUAUUGGCGGAAUUAUAAUAGAGAUUGGUUUCGUUGUGUAUUGGUCUUGUUGAACUGGUCAGUUAUAGCUGAGAUGGAAGAAGAAAGUGUUGAAUUGAACUGAGUUAGAUUGUGCUGCAGUUGGGCUGUAUUGUAGGAACUUAGAUUCUGUUUCAGGGAAGAGUCGAGUUGUAGAGAAGUUACAAAGGUUUUGACUGAAGAAGUGGAAUGAGAAGUUAUGUGACUGAAGUAUUGGAAUGAGGGUUAGAUGAGUGUAUGGAGUUGAAUCUCUCUUGUAGAAGCUGGGAACUGCUGAAUUGCAGUUAGUCUAUAUUAACAACGUUCGAUUCAAAGGAUGAACCAGUGGAUCGUGGAUCUCGAGGUAGGCGUGGCUUGUCAUCAAAAUAGGUGGGAAUACUUUUAACUCUUAUAAAACCAUUGUUUGUUUCUUUUAUAAAAGUUUAUGUUUUACAAACUCGUGUAUUUACUGUCUGUGCAUUCCAUGCUUUGUUUAGUUUGUAUUAUGAUAGUUCUGUUGAUUCUUUUAAUCUUUCCAUGGUUUGGAAAAGACUUGUAAUGUUUUGUUGUCGUUAUGAAUUUUUAUGGGAAAUAAGAAUUUCCACCUGUGGUA